GUGUGCGUAAUUUAAAAAAAAUACCAGGCCGUGGCCCUGACAUAGGCUCGCCCUCACACAAC
rnacentral:tRNA from 1 species